AUGUUACAUUACAGGGGAUGCUUAAUUGUUCUAAUAUUACCUGUUAUUUGUCUGAGUGUUGGAAUGGAUCCUGGCCUAUGGCAGUGGUUAUGAAAAUUCCAACCUUUGUCCCGAUCCCGGUUACUGCAGAUCCAGAAUCUUUUCCUAUUGUUGAACUGAUUAGAGCCCAUAGAGAUUUUGGAAUUAUGGCAGCUAUAGUGACAGCUGUGGCGGUAUCUGCUGCUGCAGCAGUUACAGCUGGAGUAGCCAUGGCCAGCCAAGUACAAACUGCUGCCACUAUUAAUCAGGUUAUUCAACAAACAUCCACCAUACUUGAAUCUCAAAGUAGAAUUAAUCAACACAUUCUAUCUGGGAUUUUGGCUGCUAAUCAAAGGAUAGAUCUGCUUCAAGCUCAAGUUGAGGAAUUGUCUGUUCUAGUACAUUUAGGUUGUAUUGAUCAACGUGCACAUUUAUGCAUAACCUCUGUCAGAUUUAAUGAUUCCAGGAAUGCCUCCCUCAUCAUUGGCGAAUAUUUGGCCGGAA
rnacentral:lncRNA from 1 species